rnacentral:sRNA from 1 species
CACCACCACCAUCAUCCUGACUAGUCUUUCAGGCAAUUGGUGCUGGGAGACUAUGUAAAGUCUUCCGGUGGCAUGCGUGCAAAAGAGAACCCCCGGAAGCUUACCUUCCGGGGGUUUUUUUA